UAUUUAAAUCAACUUUGGUUACUAAUUAAACCACAAAGAAUAACGAAAUCCUAACAUGCAGAACAUCACACGGUAAAUUCAUUUGAUUAUCAUAAAUUUAUCAUCGACGAUUUCGAUUUAAGCCAUCAGAAUUACCUUUUUCAAACCGUUGAGUUUUUAUUGGGUAGGACAAAAAUAUUUCUUAAUUGAAGAGAGAAGGAUUACCGUAAAUGAUAUUGUGUACUGAAAAUUCUUUAAUAACUGAAAACGUAAGCCCAUUAAGUUUUCUUAAACUUAAUGGGCCCAAUUAAAAAGUUGUUUUAAUUUUGAAUUCUUCACUCUAAAUUACAGAUCUAUCUCACUUUUAAAAAAAUUCCAAAAACGCCGAUCUCCCACUCGCAAGCAAUGAACGCCGAUCUAGUAAAUCUCCAUGCACUUAAUCUACAUGACAUAGUUUUCGGGAAUGCAGAUCGAAAAUUCCACACCGAUUCCUAACGAUAGCGAGGCUGUGUGGAGGGUAGACAAUAAGUGGAUGCUAGACCUCAACGAAUGGAUGGAGUCCAGCAUCCCAAGAACCCUCUCAGAUGAUACACAUGCAAGUUUAACUACGGAUUGUCACUCGGAUACAACUACACAGGCACUACAAUGUUUGUGCAAUACCUUUUCGAGGAAGGAUUAGUUUGAUUCAUUAAGUUUAAUAUUUUUUUUAAUAUGUGGUUUCGAGUUUGAACUAAAAAUAUGUUUUUGAAUUCCACAAGGAACAGUGAGGAAGGUUACUUGUAUUCCCUUGAAUGUCAAGAAGAAUCUGAACAACUGAUUAAAGCUUCCCAACUUUUAUUGUUGUUAUGAUAUAAAUUAUGUAAUUGUUCAGAACUCAUAAGCAAAACAAUUACUCUCCGUUUCAAAAAAAAAUGUAUGCUUUGAACUAAACUUUAGUUAUAAAUAAAUUAUUUUGUGAUUAA